rnacentral:tRNA from 1 species
AAAUUUCCCUUAGCUCAGAGGAAAAGCAACUGUUUCUAAACAGUGAAUCGCAGGUUCGAAUCCUGCAGGAU